rnacentral:rRNA from 1 species
GAGGAAUAUUGCACAAUGGGCGCAAGCCUGAUGCAGCGACGCCGCGUGGGUGAAGAAGGUCUUCGGAUCGUAAAGCCCUUUUCUGCGUGACGAGCAAGGACGGUAGCGCAGGAAUAAGUCUCGGCUAACUACGUGCAAGCAGCCGCGGUAAAACGUAGGAGACAAACGUUAUCCGGAGUUACUGGGCGUAAAGGGCGUGUAGGCGGUCUGUUAAGUCUGGCGUGAAAGCUCUCGGCUAAACCGGGAGAGGUCGUUGGAUACUGGCACGACUGGAGGAUGGUAGAGGCGUGUGGAAUUCCGGGUGUUGUGGUGAAAUGCGUAGAGAUCCGGAGGAACACCAGUGGCGAAGGCGACACGCUGGGCCAGUACUGACGCUGAGGCGCGACAGCGUGGGGAGCAAA